CUGACUUGAUCUUUGAGCAGAAUCGGCCCCUGGUUCCCUAACUCCCCCCCCUCCAAACCUGGCGUGUCCUCCAAGGACCACCCUGACCUGAGCCCCGUAGCGAAGCCUCAGCCGCUCCCGGAUGAGCAGCCCUUUGACCAGCAGCUUCCAGUUCCCCAGAGCCCGCUUCUCCCUUUUCUGCAAAAGCAAACAGAAUGGAAAACACUGUGCACUGCCGUUUCAGGAACAUAAAGAUACAGGCCGCAACCUCUCUGCCAUGCCCCCCGCCCACAAACGGCAUGCGCACACCGUGAAGCUCGAACCCCAGCCCGGCGAAGGCUGCUAAUCCCAGGCCGCCGGGCGUCUCCUCACCUGGAGUAGACAGCCUCUCCACGGCAGUACCCGAGGAUGGCGGCCGUCUCGGGGUAGAUGGCCUCGUACUUGAGGAGGUGCCUCUUGAGGGCGUACAGAGGGUGGUUCUUGUACAUGCCUAUGACGGUGGGCAGAGGCUGGUCCAGGUGCCUCGCCUGAAACUGCAGAGGCCGAGAGACGACGUUGGGCAUGGUGCUCGGAGAGGGAGGGAGAUUGGCGGCGACCCCCGAACUUGCCCAGGUAACUGACGGUGCCGUGGGGCUUUCGGGGCCCCAGGGCCGCCGCACCACGCUGUGACCUGGCAUUCUGUCCCACGGGUUUAGGUGCCUCGGAAGCUCCGCAGGGGCCGGUAAUCCUGCAGCUCGCAGCAACAGAAAAGUCAGCCCUACCCUCUGACACCUCGGCCGGCCCGAGCAGAGCCUUCCUCGGGAGGAGGCCUCACCUCAAGUGACACCACAAUUCUGUGACAUGGGUUCAGCGGCUUGGCUCCCCCGGAAACCAGAAUGAGCACUCACACCUUCUCCGUCCACUACGAUCAACACCUGUUCUCCCCGCUGCCUCAAGGAGCCUGGCUCUUCGCAGGCAACCCCACUGCUCUCACCUGCAUCCCACUCACCAGGUCUCCUGCAUUUCCCCGCAGCAUCUCUUCAAACCCCGACAGACAAGGGAGGAGCGGCAAGUGGGGAGCAGGAGGGACCCCGCUUGGCCAGCUUGCAUGACAAGCCCUUGAACCAGAACAGAAACCAGAGCACGAAGGAGCCCAGGCUCUCGCAGGCCCCUCUACGCACGCAAAGCCCGGCUGCUAGACACCCACCCAGGCGCCCAGUCUUCCCAGCACAGGGCCUGUGCCAGGCAGGCUCAGAGGAACCCUGCUCCACGAAGACUGAUUUUUAAAAAUCGUCUAAUGAGCAGAUCUGUUUGCUCUAAGUCUCAUAAUUUCUCACUCCUCCCUGACCAACUACUCUUUUCUCUGGAAGCCCCGGGAACCUCACCUUCGCUGCUGAUAACUUCAGAGGAAUUGGCUGUAGAGACAAUACGAGUCGGGUAGGGAGAUGUAGGGCCCGGAGAAUCAGUAAAAAUAUCUAUGAUGAAAAAGAACAACGUGCUUAUCCUCAGGAAAGAAUUAAGCAUUUGCAUAAUUCCAUGCUGUUUGUUGUGGUGCCGAUUUAUAAAAGGGAAACAACCAAAUUGUCUAACAGUAGAAGCCCGGAACCCUCAACACUAUUAAAAUGAUGCUGUAGAGAUUUAUCUUUGUAGAAAAAUGGGGAAAGGUAACCGUAUAUUAAAGGAAAAUAAAUGUUUGCUUUUUAAUGAGUUAUGUUAAUUUUUGUAAGAAAAAAUCGUGUCCAGACAUAAACAUGUAUGUGUAUUUGGAAAAGCAUCCAUAUUGGGUUAUGGGUGUUUAUAGGUGUUUGUUUUUUUUCCGGCUCACCUAUCUUCUGAUUGUUCUGUUUUCAACAUGUGUUGUGUUUGUGAUAAAACAAUAAAGCAAAACACCACUUCGAGAGAAAAGGCAUCAUCGUCAUCAGGUCCGAGAACCCCUCCCGUGCACUCAACCUCCCCAGAGCGAAUAUUUCAACCAGAGGCUGCAGCUCUAAAAAUUCUGUGAACUUGGAAGGAUGGGAGCCUCCUCAUGGGAAUUAACCUCCAAAACAACAACAGUGGGACAGCACGUGAGCAAGAUCUUCCCACACAGACCUCAGGGUCCUGGCGUCCUCAUGAAUCACUAGUCAUCUUCCCUCCUCAGAAAGCAAGAGCAAAAGUCAGAAACAGGAAGGCAGGUUUUCUGUGAAAAGCCAGUUAUAUUGAAAAAAAUAACUACUUUUGCCUUGUUUCUUCUGGAGUUAAAAACGGCGGAUGAGAAAACAUCAAAGAAACCCAAAUUGAGGAACUCUACAAAAUUCCUAAAAAGCACUCCUCAGGAGUGUCCAGGAGGACUGGGACACUGUCACGGCCUGGAGGGGAUGGGGCGCUGGGGUGACAAGAUCACUAAUGCCUGGACUGCAUCCUGGGACAGGAAAAGGGCAUCAGUGGGAAAACGUGGAAAACAGAACUCACCCCUCCAGUGUGGCUGACAACACGCUCUUAACUGGCACAGUGCACACCAUACGAGUGUUGGUUGGCUCCUCUCUUUCUCAGUGUGUGGGUGGUGCAGGGGCACGGGUGUAAAAGCCAGGGAAACUGAGCACCAGCAGGCGGCUGAAUGAUGGUUUAAACCUAGAACCUCCAUCCGGAACAUCCCCACCUCGUCCUCCUCACAAGACCACAGGGAAGACUGAAUAAGGUCAGGUACACGACAGCGCUCUGGAAGCGAUCUUGUGCCUCGCAAAGACGCGUGGUCACCACCUUUCACAAGUACGUCACUGAAGAAAAAAUUUAAGUUACAAAACUGUAUGAUCCCUACACUAAAUACAAGGUGAGCCAAGUGAAAAGGCCGAAUCCUAGAAACAUACAAAUUACCAAAACUAACUCAAGAGAAAACAGAGACUCUGAAGAGACCUAUAACGAGAGACUGAGUCAAAAAUCAAGCCCUCCCAAUAGAGGGGGAUCAAGACAGCAGAGUAUGAGGACGUGGAGCUCACCUCCCCCCACAAACACACCAAAAACACAUCUACACGAGCAAUAACUCCCACAGAAAACUAACUGGAAACUCACAGAAGAUCUCCCAUAACCAAAGCUGCAAGAAAGAUCUCCAUGUAAUCGGGUAGGAUGCAAAAAAGAAAGGUACCAGGUUGGGACCGGCACUCCUGGGAGGGAUCUGUCAGGAAGAGAAGGUGUCCGCUUGCCCUGGGGAGUCCCCUUCCUGCUGGGAAGCCCACUGAGACAGACAGAAGGGCUGGAGAAGCCUAGACUCUACUCAAGAGGAGCAUGCGGGCUGGCUUGCUAACAACCAGGACAGAGAGACCUGCCCUGGUGGUGGCCGCCUCCCCGCACUUCCCAAUUCACAGGGGCGAAUGCCCUGGCCCCGCUCACUCCACACCACGGCCUGGCGUG